AAUCCCCAAAGAAGCACGCCAUAAGCUACCAGACCUAUGCCAUAUACGCACGCUGCAGAUAGUAUCACCAGGAAUUGGUCAGAUCAUCAAUCCUUUUUAUUUUCUAUACACUCUGAUGGGCAAGACAUCAAAACGUGCAGAUGGACGUUGUCUUUUGCUAUACGCUGCAGAACGUGCAUCGGAAAGUGCAUCAGAAUGUCCUCAUUUUCUAUACGCUACACAGAACGUGCAGAUGGAUUUGGCGCACGAAAUGCAGAGCGGGAGCGAUCGGAAGAAGCGCGAAAGCGACAAAAAGCGCGGGCACGGAAACGACAGCUUGAUUGGGAGCUGGGACCCGACGGAGAUUUGUGCAGUGAAACAAAUUCUUUUCACUAUAACUCAUAACUCAUUUAUUUGUGUUAGCCCAAGUCAAGCAGUUUACUCAUAAGCACUAUUUUAUACUGUUAUGCAGUUUUCGCAAA
rnacentral:lncRNA from 1 species